rnacentral:rRNA from 1 species
AACGAACGCUGGCGGCAGGCUUAACACAUGCAAGUCGAACGCCCCGCAAGGGGAGUGGCAGACGGGUGAGUAACGCGUGGGAACGUGCCCUUCGCUUCGGAAUAGCCCCGGGAAACUGGGAGUAAUACCGAAUACGCCGUAUUGGGAAAGAUUUAUCAGCGAAGGAUCGGCCCGCGUUAGAUUAGCUAGUUGGCGGUGUAAUGGACCACCAAGGCUACGAUCUAUAGCUGGUCUGAGGGGAUGAUCAGCCACACUGGGACUGAGCCACGGCCCAGACUCCUACGGGAGGCAGCAGUGGGGAAUCUUGGACAAUGGGCGCAAGCCUGAUCCAGCCAUGCCGCGUGAGUGAAGAAGGCCUUAGGGUUGUAAAACUCUUUCGCCGGAGAAGAUAAUGACGGUAUCCGGAGAAGAAGCCCCGGCUAACUUCGUGCCAGCCGCCGCCGUAACAC